AUUGAACGCUGGCGGCAUGCCUAACACAUGCAAGUCGAACGGCAGCACAGUGCGUAGCAAUACGUAUGGGUGGCGAGUGGCGGACGGGUGAGGAAUGCAUCGGAAUCUACCCAGUAGCGGGGGAUAACCUGGGGAAACUCAGGCUAAUACCGCAUACGACCUAUGGGUGAAAGCGGGGGACCGUAAGGCCUCGCACUAUUGGAUGAGCCGAUGCCGGAUUAGCUAGUUGGUAGGGUAACGGCCUACCAAGGCGACGAUCCGUAGCUGGUCUGAGAGGACGAUCAGCCACACCGGAACUGAGACACGGUCCGGACUCCUACGGGAGGCAGCAGGUGGGGAAUAUUGGAACAAGUGGGGGAAACCCUGAUCCAGCAAUGCCGCGUGUGUGAAGAAGGCCUGGC
rnacentral:rRNA from 1 species